rnacentral:rRNA from 1 species
UACGGGGGGGGCAAGCGUUGUUCGGAAUUACUGGGCGUAAAGGGCGCGUAGGCGGUUGGAUAAGUCAGCUGUGAAAACCACGGGCUUAACUCGUGGCCUGCAGUUGAGACUGUCUGGCUUGAGUGUGGGAGAGGAGAGUGGAAUUCCUGGUGUAGCGGUGAAAUGCGUAGAUAUCAGGAGGAACACCGGUGGCGAAGGCGGCUCUCUGGAACGGUACUGACGCUGAGACGCGAAAGCGUGGGGAGCAAACAGG